UACGGAGGGUGCAAGCGUUAUCCGGAUUCACUGGGUUUAAAGGGUGCGUAGGUGGGCAGGUAAGUCCGUGGUGAAAUCUCUGAGCUUAACUCAGAAACUGCCGUGGAUACUAUUUGUCUUGAAUGUUGUGGAGGUGAGCGGAAUAUGUCAUGUAGCGGUGAAAUGCUUAGAUAUGACAUAGAACACCAAUUGCGAAGGCAGCUCACUGGCCCGAUACUGACGCUGAAGGCACGAAAGCGUGGGGAGCAAACAGG
rnacentral:rRNA from 1 species